AGAGUUUGAUCCUGCGCUCAGGAUGAACGCUAGCUACAGGCUUAACACAUGCAAGUCGAGGGGAAACGAUAUUGGAAGCUUGCUUCCGAUAGGCGUCGACCGGCGCACGGGUGAGUAACGCGUAUCCAACCUGCCCAUCACUUGGGAAUAACCUUGCGAAAGUAAGACUAAUGCCCAAUGAUAUUUAUAGAAGGCAUCGGAAAUGAAUUAAAGAUUUAUCGGUGAUGGAUGGGGAUGCGUCUGAUUAGCUUGUUGGCGGGGUAACGGCCCACCAAGGCGACGAUCAGUAGGGGUUCUGAGAGGAAGGUCCCCCACAUUGGAACUGAGACACGGUCCAAACUCCUACGGGAGGCAGCAGUGAGGAAUAUUGGUCAAUGGGCGAGAGCCUGAACCAGCCAAGUAGCGUGCAGGAUGACGGCCCUAUGGGUUGUAAACUGCUUUUAUAAGGGAAUAAAGUGAGUCUCGUGAGACUUUUUGCAUGUACCUUAUGAAUAAGGACCGGCUAAUUCCGUGCCAGCAGCCGCGGUAAUACGGAAGGUCCGGGCGUUAUCCGGAUUUAUUGGGUUUAAAGGGAGCGUAGGCCGGAGAUUAAGCGUGUUGUGAAAUGUAGACGCUCAACGUCUGCACUGCGGCGCGAACUGGUUUCCUUGAGUACGCACAAAGUGGGCGGAAUUCGUGGUGUAGCGGUGAAAUGCUUAGAUAUCACGAAGAACUCCGAUUGCGAAGGCAGCUCACUGGAGCGCAACUGACGCUGAAGCUCGAAAGUGCGGGUAUCGAACAGGAUUAGAUACCCUGGUAGUCCGCACGGUAAACGAUGGAUGCCCGCUGUUGGUCUGAAUAGGUCAGCGGCCAAGCGAAAGCAUUAAGCAUCCCACCUGGGGAGUACGCCGGCAACGGUGAAACUCAAAGGACAUUGACGGAAGGGCGAAUCGC
rnacentral:rRNA from 1 species